rnacentral:lncRNA from 1 species
CUGGUUUUCCAGAGGGACCAGGGGAGCCCCACCUCUCCUUUUGAUUUCUUGCCAGAAACUUAGUUUACAAUUAACAUUCCUGGUUUAGUCUCCACCCCCUCUUGAAAUGGAAUUUUUAUCUCUUGAUUCCUGCUACAAGAUGCGAUGCCUGUUUAUCCAGUUGCAUGAAUAAUUGGUCAGCUCUUUCCAACUUGCCAGAAGCAACCCCUGGCCGUUUCUGGAGCACUGGGAGAGACCUUCGCACAGUUUCUGCUUGGAGUCCACCGCUCUUCAUCUCAGGUGGAGGUUUGUGAGUUACAGGUCUAGACAGCUACCUGUUCUAUUUGGCUUAGCCUGUGCUGCAGAAAGUCCCAGUUCUUCCAAAUCAAGCUCCAGGAAAUUGAGAAGCAUGUUAUUAGUUUUAGCAAACAAUUUAAACAAAACUAAGACCAGAUCUCCCAGCAAUGGUGAAGGAUCUCAAGGGAGACCUUGGUCACAGUGGGCCUGGCUUCCCUACAGGCACUGCCUGCCAUAGAGGACAAGCCAUCGAAAAGUGAGUGUAGGGAGAAGAACAAUGACGCUGCCAGUGAUCCUGCCCCCAGCGUGGACCCUGCUGCUCCUUGAGGAAAUACACGGUCCUGGGAGCUCCGCUAGUGGGGUGCGCACCAUCCCACAGUGGUUCUGGUGCCUAAGAUGUACAUUAGUUGGACCACACCAACCAGCCUUGCACGACCGUUCUGAGUAAUUGAGAGGAG